GAUGAUUGACAAUAGCCCUGUGGUGCCAGAGGCAGGCGCUAAAAUGAGGUAACUACAAGCCACAGAUGCCAAAGAUUGCCAGCUACCAGCCGAAGCAGAGAGGGAUCAUACCUAGGGUCUCAGAGGGAGCACCGCCCUGUGGACACCUUGAUUUCAGACUUCCAGCCUCCAGAAUCGUGAGGAUCAGAACAAAAGGAGAGAAAGUCAGUCUUUGCUGGAAGCAUGGCUGGUGGGUCCGCAGGAUGGUGAUUCUUCUUGAAGGAUAGAACUACAAUCCGAAGCCUGAGAUCAAAAUGUGUGCCUCUGGACACAACCUGGGAUGUCAAGGAGGAGAAGCAAAAUGCCUCACCCUCACCUGACACACCCGCAGAAAGAUUUGGCAGUCAUGCUUGCAGCGAAGGGAAAUGAAGAAUGGUGAAGCACGUCAGCAAGAGCUCGGGGAAUUCUACAGUCCUCUCUCCUCUCUCCUUCCAACUGAGAUGGUGCAUCAUUUUGAUGUCAAAGUACGUUAUGCCCACAUUCAAGCUUCCUGGAUGGGGGCUUUUAGUUAACCCACGCCUUUCUAACUUUUAUAGUCUCUGGUAACCCUCAUGAUAUUAAUACACAGAAACCAGUCUUCUGCAUUCUUGAGCUUAUACUUUCUAGUGAAGGUACCUUGAUAUUGGCUUUGCUGACUAUGCUUUCCAUGUGUGGGUUUCUCUUCUGCCCUGAGCAUGUUAUGUCGUCAAAGAUUGCUAUGAUCUGCACUUGGAGGCAGGCCAAUUUGGGUUAAACUAUCACCCAGACAUGUGGGGGACACAUUGGCUAAUCCAUCACCCAUUUCCAAGGCUCUAUUGCCAAGGCAGGCUUCAAGGACAUGCGAACUGUGUAAUUGGACAGGGCUCAAGCACUUGGAAAGGUCCCAUGGUAGGUUUCAUGCUCUAUUAGUGCCAUCUUGAAAUUUUUAAUAUUGUGUUUGGACUUUUGUUUUGAAAACAAGUUUGAUUGGAAAAUGGAGCAUAACAUGAGCAGAGGAAAUGUAUGCUGUGUCUCUUACUCCAUACUGCCACAUUUGCACAGAAUGCUUAUGUUGUCCCAUGAACAGGGAAUUCAGGUGGACCCAUGAUGUGUGGGAGUUCAAUGAAUGAAAGCAAAAGUGAAUAUAAGAUUGGCGUAUUGUGCUUAGCAUCGUGUACCUAUACCCAAAUACCUAGUCCUGAGAGGUCAUCUCUCCAUUUGAACCAGAACUGACUUCCAAUACAAGAAGAAACACAAAUGAACAAAAAACACUAUCAGAUAUUUCUUAAUACUAGUGUUACUUCCUUACAUCAGCCAUCUACUUAUGCUGAAAAUAAUCAUAUAAAAGGAAAGAAAAAAGUAGGGUCUACCAUAUUUCUUCUUUCCACCAUUUUUCUUUACUCAUUGGUAACUAAAGGUAACACGUACUGACUGAUAGAAUGUUCAUGUAUCAAGAAGUGAAUUGAAAACAGUUGAGUUAGUUUUAGGCCAUGUUUCUACUGUUCUUGUAGGAAUCAAAUACAUAUUAUGUUAAAUAUAUAUGCAUGGAUGAGUUAUGAAAUACAAAUUGUAUAAUUUCAGAGAUUGCACUUGCCAGCUAAAGAUUAUCAAUAAAAUUCACA